AACGAACGCUGGCGGCAUGCCUAACACAUGCAAGUCGAACGAGACCUUCGGGUCUAGUGGCGCACGGGUGCGUAACGCGUGGGAACCUGCCCUUAGGUUCGGAAUAACUCCCCGAAAGGGGUGCUAAUACCGGAUAAUGUCUUCGGACCAAAGAUUUAUCGCCUUUGGAUGGGCCCGCGUUGGAUUAGCUAGUUGGUAGGGUAAAAGCCUACCAAGGCGACGAUCCAUAGCUGGUCUGAGAGGAUGAUCAGCCACACUGGGACUGAGACACGGCCCAAACUCCUACGGGAGGCAGCAGUGGGGAAUAUUGGACAAUGGGCGAAAGCCUGAUCCAGCAAUGCCGCGUGAGUGAUGAAGGCCUUAGGGUUGUAAAGCUCUUUUACCCGGGAUGAUAAUGACAGUACCGGGAGAAUAAGCUCCGGCUAACUCCGU
rnacentral:rRNA from 1 species